ensembl:lncRNA
GAUGCACUGAUGUAUAUUACACCUUAAUGAAUGUAAAUAGUUAUUUACAGUAUUAUUCUUAUGCCUGUUAUGCCUUAAAAUGUUCUUUAAUUGAAUAGCUUGCUUUUGGAUUUGAAAUGAAUUGGACUGCUGCUGGCUUGUAACUGCGAUGUCACUGAAUGGAGCCUAGUUUGGGGUGAAAAUUGCGGCCUUAUCUCUUAAAGUGAUGUAAAGGGGUGUAAUAACUUAAAGGUGAUGUUUAUUCAUGCAUGAUGUCACUUCUUCUAUCUCUAGAUUUAUAUAAAACAUAAAACGUUUCAUUAAAAUGCGCAUUAAGCCGAUCACGUGACCAGUGCGCGUUUCCUGGGGUGCAACGUUAAUCGAUGUCCCACCAACAACAACAAACCGUAUGACGUUAAAAAGCGACGCGCUGGUUUCCAAAUGAAGGCCUUUUAAAUACCAGAACAAGAUGAUAUUAACACAAAUAAUAUU